GAUGAAGAACGUAGCGAAAUGCGAUAAGUAAUGUGAAUUGCAGAAUUCAGUGAAUCAUCGAAUCUUUGAACGCACAUUGCGCCCCCUGGCAUUCCGGGGGGCAUGCCUGUUCGAGCGUCAUUUCACCACUCAAGCCUCGCUUGGUAUUGGGCAACGCGGUCCGCCGCGUGCCUCAAAUCGACCGGCUGGGUCUUCUGUCCCCUAAGCGUUGUGGAAACUAUUCGCUAAAGGGUGUUCGGGAAGCUACGCCGUAAAACAACCCCAUUUCUAAGGUUGACCUCGGAUCAGGUAGGGAUACCCGCUGAACUUAAGCAUAUCAAUAAGCGGAGGA
rnacentral:misc_RNA from 1 species